rnacentral:rRNA from 1 species
GACGAACGCUGGCGGCGUGCCUAAUACAUGCAAGUCGAACGCAGUGGGGACGGGUGAGUAACACGUGGGUAACCUCGCAUCAGAGGGGGUAACACUUGGAAACAGGUGCUAAACCGAUACUGGUGGAGGCACCCGCGUGGCAUUAGGUAGUUGGUGGGGUAACGGCUCACCAAGGCCACGAUGCAUAGCCGGUCUGCGAGGGUGAUCAGCAACACUGGGACUGAGACACGGCCCAGACUCCUACGGGAGGCAGCAGUAGGGAAUCUUGGGCAAUGGACGAAAGUCUGACCGAGCCACGCCGCGUGAGUGAAGAAGGCUUUCGGAUCGUAAAACUCUGUUGUUAGAGAAGCGGUAUCUAACCAGAAAGCCACGGCUAACUACGUGCCAGCAGCCGCGGUAAUUC